AAUGGGCAAGCCUCAGUAGCGGCGAGUGAGCGGCUAAAGCUCAAAUUUAAAAUCCUCCGGGAGUUGUAAUUUGUAGACUUGUUUUAGGUGACUGAUUAAAAUUUGUUGGAAUACAAUACCAUAGAGGGUGAUAGUCCCGUUAAAUCUUAACCAAUUGUAAAACAAAGUCAAAGAGUCGAGUUGUUUGGGAAUGCAGCUCAAAGUGGGUGGUAAACUCCAUCUAAAGCUAAAUAUUGGCGAGAGACCGAUAGCGAACAAGUACAGUGAUGGAAAGAUGAAAAGAACUUUGAAAAGAGAGUGAAAUAGUACGUGAAAUUGUUGAAAGGGAAGGAUUUAUUGAUAGACAUGAUUUACUAGAACAAACUUCCUUUGGGUGGUUGUACUCUAGUAACAUCAGGUGAAUUUUUAUGAAAUGGGAAUGAGAAAACUUUUGAAAUGUGGCUCCUCGGAGUGUUAUAGUCAAAGGAAAUAGUUCCACAAUUUAUAUGAAUUCACAUAAUAUUAAUAAAUCACCCGUCUUGAACCAACGGACCAAGUA
rnacentral:rRNA from 1 species